rnacentral:sRNA from 1 species
GUCAUUAGUCAAUAGGCUGCCAUUUUCUUCCUCUCUCUAUCUCUUGUUAAUUUUAUAUGAUGCCUUUAUCAUAUGAAAAGUGAACAAUCUACGAGUUGUUAAGGAUUUUUUCGGUUUUGGCUUGAGCACUACUUCUUGAGGCUGUGGAAAGAACUCCGCAGCUCCAUCACUGUAGAUGUUUUAUCACAGGGAGGUCUAAUUCUUGGCAGGAACCUGAUACUAACAACCAUUCCCUCUUGAAGGGAGGCUUGGAACUCAAUCAGG